UACGUAGGGUGCGAGCGUUAUCCGGAAUUACUGGGCGUAAAGAGCUCGUAGGUGGUUUGUCGCGUUGUUCGUGAAAACUCACAGCUUAACUGUGGGCGUGCGGGCGAUACGGGCAGACUGGAGUACUGCAGGGGAGACUGGAAUUCCUGGUGUAGCGGUGGAAUGCGCAGAUAUCAGGAGGAACACCGGUGGCGAAGGCGGGUCUCUGGGCAGUAACUGACGCUGAGGAGCGAAAGCGUGGGGAGCGAACAGG
rnacentral:rRNA from 1 species